rnacentral:rRNA from 1 species
AACGCGAAGAACCUUACCAAGAUUUGACAUGCAUGUAGUAGUGAACUGAAAGGGGAACGACCUGUUAAGUCAGGAACUUGCACAGGUGCUGCAUGGCUGUCGUCAGCUCGUGCCGUGAGGUGUUUGGUUAAGUCCUGCAACGAGCGCAACCCUUGUUGCUAGUUAAAUUUUCUAGCGAGACUGCCCCGCGAAACGGGGAGUAAGGUGGGGGUGACGUCAAGUCAGCAUGGNCUUUAUAUCUUGGGGUACACACACGCUACAAUGGACAGAACAAUAGGNUGCAACAGUGCGACGUGGAGCUAAUCCCCAAAGCUGUCCUCAGUUCGGAUUGCAGGCUGAAACCCGCCUGCAUGAAGUCGGAGUUGCUAGUAACCGCAUAUCAGCAUGGUGCGGUGAAUACGUUCCCGGGCCUUGUACACACCG